rnacentral:rRNA from 1 species
AGACACGGCCCAGACUCCUACGGGAGGCAGCAGUGGGGAAUCUUGCACAAUGGAGGAAACUCUGAUGCAGCGAUGCCGCGUGAGUGAAGAAGGCCUUUGGGUUGUAAAGCUCUUUUGUAGGGGAAGAUAAUGACUGUACCCUAAGAAUAAGGUCCGGCUAACUUCGUGCCAGCAGCCGCGGUAAUACGAAGGGACCUAGCGUAGUUCGGAAUUACUGGGCGUAAAGCGCGCGUAGGCCGUUGAGUUAGUUAAUUGUGAAAUCCCAAAGCUUAACUUUGGAACUGCAAUUAAAACUGCUCGACUAGAGUUUGAUAGAGGAAAGCGGAAUACAUAGUGUAGAGGUGAAAUUCGUAGAUAUUAUGUAGAACACCAGUUGCGAAGGCGGCUUUCUGGAUCAACACUGACGCUGAGGCGCGAAAGUAUGGGUAGCAAAGAGGAUUAGAUACCCUCGUAGUCCAUACCAUAAACGAUGAUUGCUAGAUGUUGGAAAUUUAUUUUCAGUAUCGCAGCUAACGCAUUAAGCAAUCCGCCUGGGGAGUACGACCGCAAGGUUAAAACUCAAAUGAAUUGACGGGGACCCGCACAAGCGGUGGAGCAUGUGGUUUAAUUCGAAAAUACGCGCAGAACCUUACCAACCCUUGACAUGUCUGUCGCGAGUUUAGGAAACUAGACUUUUCGGUUCGGCCGGACAGAACACAGGUGCUGCAUGGCUGUCGUCAGCUCGUGUCGUGAGAUGUUGGGUUAAGUCCCGCAACGAGCGCAACCCCUACUUUUAGUUGCCAUCAGGUCAUGCUGGGCACUCUGAAAGAACUGCCAGUGAUAAGCUGGAGGAAGGUGGGGAUGACGUCAAGUCCUCAUGGCCCUUACGGGUUGGGCUACACACGUGCUACAAUGGUAGUGACAAUGAGAUGCAAAGUGGCGACGCUAAGCUAAACUCAAAAAUCUACCUCAGUUCGGAUUGCACUCUGCAACUCGAGUGCAUGAAGCUGGAAUCGCUAGUAAUCGUAGAUCAGCGUGCUACGGUGAAUACGUUCCCGGGUCUUGUACACACCGCCCGUCACACCAUGGAAGUUGGUUCUACCUUAAAGCAGAUUGCUAACCGCAAGGAGGCGUUUGACCAAGGUAUAGUCAGCGACUGGGGUGAAGUCGUAACAAGGUAGCCGUAGGGGAACCUGCGGCUG